GGAUCGUAACCUAGAGAAGCUACC
rnacentral:misc_RNA from 1 species